UGGGGAAUUUUCCGCAAUGGGCGAAAGCCUGACGGAGCAAUACCGCGUGAGGGAUGAAGGUCUGUGGAUUGUAAACCUCUUUUCUCUGGGACGAUGAUGACGGUACCAGAGGAAUCAGCAUCGGCUAACUCCGUGCCAGCAGCCGCGGUAAGACGGAGGAUGCAAGCGUUAUCCGGAAUUAUUGGGCGUAAAGCGUAUGUAGGUGGCUUGCCAAGUCCUUUGUCAAAGCGUGGGGCUUAACCCCAUAACGGCGAGGGAAACUGGUAGGCUAGAGUACAGUAGGGGUAGGAGGAAUUCCCGGUGUAGCGGUGAAAUGCGUAAUAUCGGGAAGAACACCAUGGCGAAAGCGUCCUACUGGGCUGUAACUGACACUGAGGUACGAAAGCUAGGGGAGCGAAUGGGAUUAGAUACCCAGUAGUC
rnacentral:rRNA from 1 species